UACGUAGGUGGCAAGCGUUGUCCGGAUUUACUGGGCGUAAAGAGCGCGCAGGCGGUCGGAUCAGUCGAAUGUGAAAGCCCCCGGCUCAACUGGGGAGGGUCAUUCGAUACUGUCCGACUCGAAGGCAGGAGAGGGAAGCGGAAUUCCCGGUGUAGUGGUGAAAUGCGUAGAUAUCGGGAGGAACACCGGUGGCGAAGGCGGGUCUCUGGGCAUCUCCUGACGCUGAGGCGCGAAAGCGUGGGGAGCAAACGGG
rnacentral:rRNA from 1 species